rnacentral:rRNA from 1 species
AUUGAACGCUGGCGGCAUGCUUUACACAUGCAAGUCGAACGGCAGCGCGGGCUUCGGCCUGGCGGCGAGUGGCGAACGGGUGAGUAAUACAUCGGAACGUGCCCAGUAGUGGGGGAUAGCUCGGCGAAAGCCGGAUUCAUACCGCAUACGACCUGAGGGUGAAAGCGGGGGAUCUUCGGACCUCGCGCUAUUGGAGCGGCCGAUGGCAGAUUAGCUAGUUGGUGGGGUAAAGGCCUACCAAGGCGACGAUCUGUAGCUGGUCUGAGAGGACGACCAGCCACACUGGGACUGAGACACGGCCCAGACUCCUACGGGAGGCAGCAGUGGGGAAUUUUGGACAAUGGGCGAAAGCCUGAUCCAGCAAUGCCGCGUGUGUGAUGAAGGCCUUCGGGUUGUAAAGCACUUUUGGCGGGAACGAAAAGGACUGUGCCAAUACCACGGUUCGAUGACGGUACCCGCAGAAUAAGCACCGGCUAACUACGUG